GCGCCCGUAGCUCAGCUGGAUAGAGCGCUGCCCUCGGAGGCAGAGUCUCAGGUUCGAAUCCUGUCGGGCGUACCA
rnacentral:tRNA from 1 species